AUGCUUGCUUUGGCAGCAUGUACACAAAAAUUGGAAUAAUUCAGAGGAGAUUAGCAUGAUCCCUGGGCAAGGAUGAUACACAAAUACAAGAAGUAUUCCAUAUUUUU
ensembl:snRNA U6 U6 spliceosomal RNA